CGGGCACGCAGCCCAGCCACGGGGAGCGAGAGGAGGAGAUCGCCACAAAGGAGUAGAAGAACAGUUGACAAAUGACUUUUCAGUCAUUCGCAAAAAAAGAAAAAAUUGCAGGAGCAUACAGCAUGUACCAUAGGCAGAGGGAAAGCCAUGUGACUGAUACAGGCCCUUGGAGAGAGGGGACCCAGCUUGACUGAUCCCAGUCCCACAGAAGCCUGGUUUACUCCAUGGACAUCCUUUCAAUAAUCUUAGUGCUAAGAACUAUCAAAUCAACAGCGAGUGGUGGACAUAGAAGCUAGUUUUGCAUUCUACAGAUAACAAGCAAAUAUGGAAAUGGGGUUCAAGUUCCAAUCUUUAGAUUUCCUUUACAUAGAACAUGAGAGCAUUCGAAAGAAAAUAUAUUCAGAUCCUUCAGUUAACUCUCAGUUUCUGCCACUUAAAAGUGUAAGCUUACUGUGCCUAACAACUGAAGAUGUCAAUGCCCUGUGGAAUACAGGAUUAGAAAGAAUGUCAGCUUGUUUAUAGACUAGAAAGAACAAAGUCAACUUAUGACUUUUACAUAGUAAGUACAAGGUUUAUACCACAGAUAUGAUCAUGAUUCAGACCUAUUUGUAUGAAGAAAAAUAUCAUCCACAGAGCGUCAACACAUGUCCAGGCUAGAAAACAGGCUAGACAUUAAAGAAAUGUAUCCAGUAUAAUGUGUUCAAUUUGGUAGAGGUGAGCUGUACUGAAUAUUUACCUUGUCUGUUUGAUAAUGUGUUCAAUGCAUUAAGAAUUGUAUUAUUCAGUACCUUCUCUGCAACACUGAAUGCCGGACAGUAGAGCAAUGGAGCCCAAAAACUUCACUGAACUGUUCAUAAUAUAAAGCUCCUGAGCCACAGAACUAAAUAUGUGACAAGGCA